UUGAGAUUCAUGAGAGCUCUCAGCUGCAGUUAUUCUGCUGUGCACUGCUCCUUCUUCUUCCACAGUGGAGGUGUCAAGGGCACAAAAAAGGAGAGACAAACUGCACGCAAGGUUUCCCUUUAAAAUGUUCCGUUCGAUUUCUAACUCUUACUUUUUCCCUGAAGACUGGUUGCUCUAGGUAAGAAUACACAUGUGUCUUUAGAUGAAAAGCCUUGUGACUGAAAAUCAGCCACUGGUUAUCUCUAUAUAAUUGAUGCUUCAGUCAGUAA
rnacentral:lncRNA from 1 species